UACGGGGGGGGGCAAGCGUUGUUCGGAAUUACUGGGCGUAAAGGGUGCGUAGGCGGCUCUCUAAGUUGGAUGUGAAAACUCUGGGCUCAACCCAGAGCCUGCAUCCAAAACUGGAGAGCUAGGGUUCUGGAGGGGAAAGCGGAAUUCCUGGUGUAGCGGUGAAAUGCGUAGAUAGUCGGGAAGAACACCCGGUGGCGAAGGCGGGCUCUCUGGGACGGUACUGACGCUGAGACGCGAAAGCGUGGGGAGCGAACAGG
rnacentral:rRNA from 1 species